rnacentral:siRNA from 1 species
UAAGCGAUCACUCACACUAUCCUC